UUGCACUGUUCGUAACCUUUUGACAGCAUUUUUCUGCAAAUAGGUUCCAUUCCAGUGCUACAUUAAAUCCAGUAAUGGAAGGCUGACAAACUCCCAUGUCCCUUCUGUAUCUGGAGACAAAG